CAGAGUGCAGUAACAGAGAGCCCUCAGCUCUGAAUACAACGGAAAGGAUCAUUUGGCAGUUUGGAUGUGGGGAUCGUACUGUGAAUGUAUUCCUGAAGGAAUUUCAGAAAAAGUAGCUCUGAACAGUAUUUGAUCAUAUUUCUACAAUUCAUCAGAAUGGAGAUGGCUAUAUACCUCGAAAUUUGUUGCAAAAGAGUCUGCUGGGCUGGACUGCAGAGAUAUGAGAGAGGACACCAAUAUUCUUCUAGUAUUGACAAAUAAGAAAACUCAUAACCUCGGUGACAUGAUGACAGAAGGUGACUUUUAAGUUCUACUAAAACCUAUAGGAAUCAAGAAGAAGCUAUGGAAAUGGGCAUUUGAUCAGUCUUUGAUGACUUUAAUUCCAGCAAGAUGGAGUUCUAAUCGCUGCAAUCCUUGAUAAUGAGUUCAUGAAAAUAAGUUGGUUGUGUUUAAUCCCUGGAUUAUUUUAUAAUGAAUUAUGCUCAGUUAACAAGCGUAAUGGGUUGCCACACAGCACCAGUGUGUGUAUGGUGUGGAACUUGGUGGGCAAUGCCCAGAAAGAAGCUUGGAACCUGGU